rnacentral:piRNA from 1 species
UUUUAUGAAACGGUGUAAUAUCUCCUCU